rnacentral:rRNA from 1 species
AGUGAACGCUGGCGGUAGGCCUAACACAUGCAAGUCGAACGGCAGCACAGGAGAGCUUGCUCUCUGGGUGGCGAGUGGCGGACGGGUGAGGAAUACAUCGGAAUCUACUUUUUCGUGGGGGAUAACGUAGGGAAACUUACGCUAAUACCGCAUACGACCUACGGGUGAAAGCAGGGGAUCUUCGGACCUUGCGCGAUUGAAUGAGCCGAUGUCGGAUUAGCUAGUUGGCGGGGUAAAGGCCCCCCAAGGCGACGAUCCGUAGCUGGUCUGAGAGGAUGAUCAGGCACACUGGAAGUGAGACACCGUGCAGACUCCUACGGGAGGCAGCAGUGGGGAAUAUUGAACAAUGGGCGCAAGCCGGAUCCAGCCAUACCGCGUGGGUGAAGAAGGCCUUCGGGUUGUAAAGCCCUUUUGUUGGGAAAGAAAUCCAGCUGGUUAAUACCCGGUUGGGAUGACGGUACCCAAAGAAUAAGCACCGGCUAACUUCGUGCCAGCCGCCGCAGUAA